rnacentral:rRNA from 1 species
UGGGGAAUAUUGCACAAUGGGCGCAAGCCUGAUGCAGCCAUGCCGCGUGUGUGAAGAAGGCCUUCGGGUUGUAAAGCACUUUCAGCGGGGAGGAAGGCGAUAAGGUUAAUAACCUUGGCGAUUGACGUUACCCGCAGAAGAAGCACCGGCUAACUCCGUGCCAGCAGCCGCGGUAAUACGGAGGGUGCAAGCGUUAAUCGGAAUUACUGGGCGUAAAGCGCACGCAGGCGGUCUGUCAAGUCGGAUGUGAAAUCCCCGGGCUCAACCUGGGAACUGCAUUCGAAACUGGCAGGCUAGAGUCUUGUAGAGGGGGGUAGAAUUCCAGGUGUAGCGGUGAAAUGCGUAGAGAUCUGGAGGAAUACCGGUGGCGAAGGCGGCCCCCUGGACGAAGACUGACGCUCAGGUGCGAAAGCGUGGGGAGCAAACAGG